CUCUCAACCUCUCAAAGCUCUCUAUCCAGAUUUCUCUAAUCCCCAACUCUCUCACUAUCUCUCUUCACCACUAAAGGUUUCUGCGUGUUGCAUGUUGUGACCCUCUUCCUCUUAGCAGCAAAAGCUUCGACUCUUUAAGGGUCUCUUUCUUCUCUCUUCUUCGAUGUUACAGGCAGAACAUCUCUAGGAAGCUGAAGCUGGAAGGUUGCAUGCGAAUGUUGCAUGAGGGGAUAAAGAUGAGAUUUGGGGUUGUUACUGAAUGGUGACUGGUGAACGAGAAUGUAAUGAUUCAUAAGGAAGUGUUCUUACAAUGACCUUACUAUCUCACUCUAAUGUUUUACUUAUAACUUAUCCGAUGGAAACAGUUUCUUUUGACUCCAGUUGUGAGUCCUACAAAAGCAGGCUCCUGUGUUCCUGAACGAGGAAGAGGGAUCUUAGACAUGCAAGUGUAAGUUUGAGUACUCUAAGUCUCUCACUUUAGUUAUGUGUCUUUUUGAGAUUGUAACUUGUUUAAAUUCCAAUAGUAUAUGAUUUGUUUGACUUAGAUGAUUGGCCAUACUAAUAAUUUAUGUUUUUAUCGGGUUUUAACCGUGUUUUACAUUCAAAUUUUGAGUUUUUUUCGAUAAGAACAAGAUGGUUUCUCGGUGUUUUCGUACUAUUUAUUAUAUUUUCAGGUUCUAAGAUGUUUUGGAGAGAAAAAAGAAUUAUUGGACCAUUUUGGAUUGCUGCUGGAUGUGAUGGGAUGAAGUCAGGAGUUCAAGACCGAUCAGUCCUAACUUACGAGCAAUUGGUCACCAUUCUUUCAGAUUAAAUCUCUUUGUAUCGACCCAGGACGACAAGAGAAGCCUGGACAGAUCGGUCCCAUACCCGAUACUUUUUUUUUUAAAAAACUAGCUUUUUAGGGUUUUCUCUUGAUAUUUAAGUAGCUUUUUAGCUCGAUUUCUAAAGAUAAAACUUUUACUCGAGACGACUUUUCUGCUUUUGUAAGUUUGGGGAGACAAUUUCUACUCUUGAUUCCUUGUUUAAUAUAGAGACAAUUUAUGAACC